CAGCACCUCAAGUGGUCAGGAUGAUUAUUGGGCCUAAAGCAUCCGUAGCCGGCGCUGUAAGUUUUCGGUUGAAUCUGUACGCUCAACGUACAGGCUGCCGGGAAUACUGCAGCGCUAGGGAGUGGGAGAGGUAGACGGUACUCGGUAGGAAGGGGUAAAAUCCUUUGAUCUAUUGAUGACCACCUGUGGCGAAGGCGGUCUACCAGAACACGUCCGACGGUGAGGGAUGAAAGCUGGGGGAGCAAACCGGAUUAGAUACCCGAGUAGUCC
rnacentral:rRNA from 1 species